CCUACGGGUGGCAGCAGUGGGGAAUAUUGCACAAUGGGGGAAACCCUGAUGCAGCGACGCCGCGUGAAGGAAGAAGUAUUUCGGUAUGUAAACUUCUAUCAGCAGGGAAGAAAAUGACGGUACGUGACUACUAAGCCCCGGGUCACGACGUGCCAGCAGCCGCGGAAAUACGGAGGGGGCAAGCGGUAUCCGGGUUGAAUGGGUGUAAAGGGAGCGUAGGUGGGUUAGCAAGUCCGACGUGAAAGCCCGGGGCUCAACGCCGGGACUGCUUUUGAAACUGUUGAACUAGAUUGCAGGAGAGGUAAGUGGAAUUCCUAGUGUAGCGGUGAAAUGCGUAGAUAUUAGGAGGAACACCAGUGGCGAAGGCGGCUUACUGGACUGUAAAUGACGCUGAGGCUCGAAAGCGUGGGGAGCAAACAGGAUUAGAUACCCGGGUAGUC
rnacentral:rRNA from 1 species